rnacentral:misc_RNA from 1 species
GUCUCUCUUUGAACAUUUUUUAAAGCCUUGCAAUUAUUGAUGGGGUUUAAAUUAUUAUAUGUGUUAAUGUUUGAUUUUGGUGUAUGAAAUAUGCUAUCUUAUUUCUUUGAAAGGUGAUAAAAUGAGAUAAUAUUCUGCAACUGUUCAUCUAUGACUGUGGAUAUAUAUUUACAGUUGUACACCAUAUAAUUGUCUGUAUGUAGGCUUGUCUUAAACUUUACAUGCAUGCCAUUGAUAUGUGUGUGUUAAAUUAUGC